ACUCCUACGGGAGGCAGCAGUAAGGAAUAUUGCGCAAUGGGCGAAAGCCUGACGCAGCGACGCCGCGUGGGGGAUGAAGGUCUUCGGAUUGUAAACCCCUUUCGGGAGGGAAGAUGGGAUGGGGUAACCCAUUCGGACGGUACCUCCAGAAGCAGGCACGGCUAACUUCGUGCCAGCAGCCGCGGUAAU
rnacentral:rRNA from 1 species